rnacentral:misc_RNA from 1 species
UAAUGGUAUUUCCUUGGAUCUCGCCGCCUCGCAUUCUCUCCAGGGUGAACAAAUGGGCACUCUGUCCAAUCAUGGGAAUAUGCCCUUGAGCAAGGCUUCACCUUAAAUGUAUACAUUCUAAAUUCAUCAGUACCAAAUAUACCAUUCUUGAUAUCAGGAAGAGUGAGAUCAACAGGAUAUUCCUUCUUCUCAGUCCCAUCUUUAGAUAAUAUUGGUGUUGAAACUUCCUGCUGUUCUUGCCCAUCUAUUUCAUCAGGAUUCAGAUCAGCCAAAACACAAGAUUCAUCUCUAGUAUAACCACCCUUUAGCACAAGCUCUAGUGCCUUUCUCCUUGAAUUAGAACCAGAACUAACAAAUGGAACAAGCAAGUCACUAGCAUUAUUUCCAUUUGCAUCAACAGUAUUAUGAUCAGCAGAGGCAGCAAGCAAGAGCUUGACAACCUCAAGAGAAGAUGCAGAGCCACCUGCAACAGCACAGUGAAGGGCUGUGGCCCCAUCAGACCCACAACACCUAUUAACAUCAACACGGCCCAUUUCCAAGAUAUAAUUCAAGACAUCUUUGCUUCCAAGUAAGGCAGCAAUCAUGAGGGGUGUCCUCUCCUCAAACCCCAUGUUUUUUGAGCCAAUUCUUCUCCCAUACCAUAAGCCUGGCUCAUCAACGUCACGGCCUCCUUCAAUUUCUCUCUUAAACCCAAUCAGAUCAUUCGAGGCAGACAAUUCGAGCAAAACAGAGAGAUUACAGCAAUACCCAUCUUGCUUUUGAAAUUUAUUCUCCAUGAUGAAACCAGUAUAAGUCGGUUUCCUCUCUGACCCACUGCACAUGGAAAAAGUUCUCUCUUCUCAGGCCUUGUUCGAACUCCCCUUUUCUUUCUUAAAUGCAAAAAAGAGAGCACCAGGGAAAAGCUAAACCCAGAACUAGUCUGUUCUAGCUUAUUAAAUUCUUGAGUUAUACCCUUCGCUUUUUACUACACAGAACCAGAACCAAAGAGGGAGUGAGAGAAAGGCCCUCGGCUUCUCUUUUAAUGGUUUUGUUUUCUAAUGUUUUGGUGGGGGUGUCAGAA